GCUUAUCACAGGGCUGUGUGCAGACACGCAAAUCUGACUGAUCACUCCAUGUUUACAUACGAAAACUUGAAGAGUUCGUACCAUAGCUGGGGGAACAGCCUUGUGCAAGCAAACACAAUACAAGAUGUCCAGUUUCCCUUCCACUUGCGCCAUGCUAUGAUACAGCAUGAGGCCCUCACCCAGAAGCUGACCAAAAGCAGCUGCCUGAUCUUGGACUUCCUGCCUCCAGAACUGUGAGCUAAAUAAACCUCUUUUCUUUAUAAAUUACCUGGUAUCAAAUAUACUGUUAUAGCAAUAGAAAAAAGACUAAACAAAGAAUAAUUUUUUUCUCUUUUAUUCUUCACUAAUAUAGGUUAACUACAUUGAUUUUUUUUAAUGUAAACUAAUCGAACAUCUCUGGAAUAAACCCCACUUGGUCAUGACAUAGUUGUUUUAAAUCUCAC
rnacentral:lncRNA from 1 species